GAACCUGCCCUGGAGUGGGGGACAACCACUGGAAACGGUGGCUAAUACCGCAUGUGGCCUGAGGGUCAAAGCAGCAAUGCGCUCUGGGAGGGGCCCGCGUCCGAUUAGCUAGUUGGUGGGGUGACGGCCUACCAAGGCGACGAUCGGUAGCUGGUCUGAGAGGAUGAUCAGCCACACUGGGACUGAGACACGGCCCAGACUCCUACGGGAGGCAGCAGUGGGGAAUAUUGGACAAUGGGCGCAAGCCUGAUCCAGCAAUGCCGCGUGCGUGAUGAAGGCCUUCGGGUUGUAAAGCGCUUUCGCCCACGACGAUGAUGACGGUAGUGGGAGAAGAAGCCCCGGCUAACUCCGUGCCAGCAGCCGCGGUAAUACGGAGGGGGCUAGCGUUGUUCGGAAUUACUGGGCGUAAAGGGUGCGUAGGCGGCUGUCCAAGUCGGGUGUGAAAGCCCCGGGCUCAACCCGGGAUGUGCAUCCGAGACUGGGCGGCUCGAGUUCGGGAGAGGUGAGUGGAAUUCCCAGUGUAGAGGUGAAAUUCGUUUAAUUUGACUCGAACUCCGGUGGAGAAGACGGCUCGGCGGACAAAUCGCCCCGGUGAGCCGGGAUAUCUUAUCCAGCAAACACACGAUAUACCCCCGUCGUC
rnacentral:rRNA from 1 species